CAACCAUGUGAGGUGUUAUUUCUACAGGAUGGUUGGCAAAAUUGGGAUUCAAAAAUCUUCAGCCACUGGCCCUUGCAUGUGGUGGAGCUGGGAUGAAAGUCCAGACCUGGGGACGUUGCUCCCUGGGUCCACUCUGUUGCUACUGGCAGGGUGGAGGGAAGGCUCACCAUGGGAGCCCUGCAAUGGCCUGCGGGCACUCCCAUUGCUUCACUGAGUGGAGGAAAGGAGGCUGUACAGGACGCACAGUGGCAUCUGCUUCUGGGGCAGCUUCAGGAAGCUUCCGGUCAUGGUGGAAGGCAAAGGGGGAGCAGAGCAGGGUCUUGACCUGGAAGAUGGCUGGGGUUUGCACAGCUGGAGCAGACGAGGAGAACCUUCUCCCAGGGGUGGCACCUGCCUCCUGCUCUCAGUUCUCUCUUCUUCCAGGUAAGAAGAUGGUAUUGUAGUAGCCUCCACUGGGUGGACUUCUGGAAGGCGCAAGCGGCCCCUGAAGGGCCCUGGAGCCAUUUUAGAAUCGCUCAUAAUAAAACUGGAUGGAAACACAACAGAGUAUGUAAUUGAGUUCCUCGACUUCACAGAUGAGGAGACCGAGGGCCGUUCAACUAAGAUCACGCGGGUAGAAAGUGGCUGUCUUGUGGCUGUCCCGUGAUUCAACAUAGAUUUUUGGCAUCUAGUUUGGUGGCUUUUUUUUCUACCACACUUCUCAUCUGCCUUACGCCCGGCAGCCCUGAGCCUGACACGCCUACAGACUGAAGGAUGGAGGAGAGACAGGCUUGCAUCCUGCAGAGUCUAGCAGAGGCCCUGGGUCACUUUGCUUCCCAGAGGCACAUCCGAUUUCCCAUACUUGUUGUAAGAGAAACUAAAGUCGUCCAGUUCCAGUGGUGCUUCAGAGCCCAACAGACUCCCCCAGCGUGGCCAAUAUUCAGCUGGCCUGGGAUCUUCUGGGCGGUGCCACUGUGCUAGGCUGCAGACCUGACUUUUUGGCCGAAAAGACAAAAGAUGGUCUCUUCCACUCAUUAGUUAUGAGAGUUCUGACAACCCAUGUAACUUCUAUGAGCCCCCGUGUUCUUAUCUGUACAAUAAUCUAUACUCUUCUUACAUCAAUUAGUCGCUAGAACAAAAAUAAAAUGUCUGCUAUGAAAAGUCCA
rnacentral:lncRNA from 10 species